rnacentral:rRNA from 1 species
AAGUCGAACGCAGUAGCAAUACUGAGUGGCAGACGGGUGAGUAUAAUGUGGGAAUCUGCCUUUUGGUUUGGAAUAACACGGGGAAACUUGUGCUAAUACCGAAUAAGCCUUUACAGGGAAAGUUUUAACGCCGAAAGAUGAGCCCGCACUUGAUUAGCUAGUUGGUAAGGUAAAAGCUUACCAAGGCAACGAUCAAUAGCUGUUCUUAGAGGAAGACCAGCCACAUUGGGACUGAGACACGGCCCAGACUCCUACGGGAGGCAGCAGUGGGGAAUCUUGCACAAUGGGGGAAACCCUGAUGCAGCGAUGCCGCGUGAGUGAAGAAGGCCCUUGGGUUGUAAAACUCUUUCGUCGGGGAAGAAAAUGACUGUACCCGAAUAAGAAGGUCCGGCUAACUUCGUGCCAGCAGCCGCGGUAAUACGAAGGGACCUAGCGUAGUUCGGAAUUACUGGGCUUAAAAGAGCUCGUAGGUGGUUAAAAAAGUUGAUGGUGAAAUCCCCAAGG